AGCUCUUCUCUUGGUCAGCUUUCUCUGUAUGUACUGAGAGCUGCCAAAUGAAGGGCUGU
rnacentral:pre_miRNA from 1 species